AUUGAACGCUGGCGGAAUGCUUUACACAUGCAAGUCGAACGGCAGCACGGACUUCGGUCUGGUGGCGAGUGGCGAACGGGUGAGUAAUGUAUCGGAACGUGCCCAGUCGUGGGGGAUAACGUAGUGAAAAUUACGCUAAUACCGCAUACGACCUAUGGAUGAAAGCGGGGGAUCGCAAGACCUCGCGCGAUUGGAGCGGCCGAUAUCAGAUUAGGUAGUUGGUGGGGUAAAGGCCCACCAAGCCAACGAUCUGUAGCUGGUCUGAGAGGACGACCAGCCACACUGGAACUGAGACACGGUCCAGACUCCUACGGGAGGCAGCAGUGGGGAAUUUUGGACAAUGGGCGAAAGCCUGAUCCAGCCAUUCCGCGUGCAGGAUGAAGGCCCUCGGGUUGUAAACUGCUUUUGUACAGAACGAAAAGGUUUCUACUAAUACUAGGAGCUCAUGACGGUACGGUAAAAAUAAGCACCGGCUAACUACGUGCCAGCCGCCGCGGUAA
rnacentral:rRNA from 1 species